rnacentral:piRNA from 1 species
UGGUCUCUUAUCUCAUCCCAGCUC